CUGAGGGUAGUAAAAAAAGGGCUGAAUUGGUUCGUCCCAAAGUAAGUGUAGGGUAGAUUAUGGUUGCGUCUUGUUGUUGUUGUUUUGAUAUAUAUUAAGUGUAUAAACAUCGAAUUCAUUUGUAGGCAAGGUUGCAGCCUAAUGGGAAUGAUUGUGGAUAUUAUGUGAUGAAGAAUAUGCUUGACAUUGUCUCUGCUAAUAUUACUAAGUCUUGGAAUGAGGUAUUCAAUGAUCCAACGGCAUUAACAGAAGAAGAGUUGUAUGAUUUGCGAAACAGUUGGGCAACUUGUUUUCUAGAGUUGAUUAAACCUUAGAAUUUAUCAGAUUGAUUGAAUUGCUGGGAAUUUUGCUGAUAUGGACAGUAGAUUGGUGGAGAGAUGAUUGAAUGGAUUCAUAUGAGGCACUUUUUCUGCUGAAUUGCGUGGCUCAGAAUUUCAAGUGGUAGUGAAUCUCUUUUUGUUGUAUUGGUGGUCUUGGAGGCUUGGUAAAAUUUGGGAUAGGCAGUAACAUUUGGGCAGUUUGUUGCCUUUGGAUUAGUAGCUUUAGAGUUCUUACUAUCUUAUUGCUUUAGUAGUUCGAGACUUUACUACCUUAGUCUUUUCUUUAGCUUAGCUAGUUUUGGUUACUUUGUAUUUUGGCUUUGGACCGUUUCCUUGGUUUUUUCCAAAAAAUAUUUGGCAAUGCAUGAUCAAUUAUUAAUGAUCA